rnacentral:tRNA from 1 species
GGAUUGUGGCUCAGUGGUAAAGUAUUCGCCUUGUAUGUGCAAGGUGCUGGGUUUGAUCCUCAGCACCA